UACGAAGGGUGCAAGCGUUACUCGGAAUUACUGGGCGUAAAGCGUGCGUAGGUGGUUUUUUAAGUCCGUUGUGAAAGCCCUGGGCUCAACCUGGGAAUGGCAGUGGAUACUGGAAAGCUAGAGUGCGGUAGAGGGUAGUGGAAUUCCCGGUGUAGCAGUGAAAUGCGUAGAGAUCCGGCGGAACACCGGUGGCGCAGGCGGCACCCUGGGCCGAGGCCGACGCUGAGGCGCGAGAGCGUGGGGAGCGAACCGG
rnacentral:rRNA from 1 species